rnacentral:rRNA from 1 species
UAUCUCUGUAGAGUCUGCAUAUCAAUAAGCGGAGGAAAAGAAACUAACAAGGAUUCCCUUAGUAACGGCGAGUGAAGCGGGAAGAGCUCAAAUUUGAAAUCUUCAAGGUUUUACCUUGACGAAUUGUAGUUUAAAGAAGUGUUUUCUGUUGAGUGUUUCGGUAAAAGUUCUUUGGAAUAGGACAUCAUAGAGGGUGAGAAUCCCGUAUUUGACCAUUAUUUCAGCUGUGUGAUACACUUUCAAAGAGUCGGAUUGUUUGGGAAUGCAGUCCAAAAUGGGUGGUAAAUUUCAUCUAAAGCUAAAUAUUGGCGAGAGACCGAUAGCGAACAAGUACCGUGAGGGAAAGAUGAAAAGAACUUUGAAAAGAGAGUUAAACAGUACGUGAAAUUGUCAAAAGGGAAGCGUUUGACACCAGUGUUGUUUUCUCGAAAAUCAAUUAAGAAUGGCUUGAUUUUGUGUUGUAUUGACCUUAUAAGCUUUCUUCACUUUUUUCAUGUUUUUUUUAAUGCACUUUUCGUUUAACAAGUCAACAUCAGUUUCUUUUGUUGUAAAAAGGUCAUUGGAAGGUGGCUUUCUUUUCGGAGAAAGUGUUUAUAGCCUUUGACUUCUGCAAUCGGAGAGACUGAGGUCUGCAGCGUAGAUCCUUCUGGAUUAGAUUCAUUUGUGCUAAGUUACAACCGUUUAUAGACAACUUGUUGACUAUAUUCGAUCCUGUAGCUUACUCGCUUAUGUAAUUUUACCUACGCUUAGGAUGUUGAAGAUGUAGCACAUCAU